GUAAAGGGUUACAGAUUCUAGGAAGUAUUAAAUGCAAACUUUAAAGGAUUUUAUUUUCAUCUAAAGUCACAUGAUGCCUUAAUACCCAAUGACACUAACUACGGUGUCUCAUUAAGAGGUCAUGCAAACUCCCAAGCUAAACAAGGCAUUCUUACAUAUUUAACAUUCAAAUGCAGAAGCCAAGCUAAGCCAUGGAAGAUUGUAAUCAGGAAAAGCUACACUUCCUGAUCCACACAAAUGCUACAGAGGAGGUGCCCCACCAGUCUGGUCUCUGCACACACAGAAAGCAGAAGGAGAAAAAGGUUCUUUAAACAGGAGGCAGACUGAUAGCAUUUGGGGCUGAAAGCUGGAGCUUAUUUUGGAAUGUGAAAGCUACUUGCUGUUUGGAUCCAUGACAACCACACAGACACUCUUCCCUUUAACAGUCUACACCAGCAUGGUAAGCAAUAUUCCAAAGACUGAGUCUCACUGGUAAGUGUGUUGUGCAAUAAGCUGGAGUGACUAGGUGUGUAAGGCUUCAUGCUACACACUUCUGGCUCAAAGAGAGUAAUAUAAAAACUAUUACACAACAUAAGCAAGAAGGAUAUGGCAACAUACCUUGAUUUAUGAACACUGUUUUACACACCAGACAAGUAUUAAGUUUCCCAGAAUAUCUCAGAAAGGAUGUUGCUAAGCAAAGAU
rnacentral:lncRNA from 1 species